ACUCUGAGCAAUUUAUUGCUUAAUAAUAAAAAAAAGGCUCAAAAGUUCAGCUUUCACAUCACUGAUUCAGUUUUUACAGUAUGGAUUCCUCUCUUUACUGCUUUCAAAGCAGUUUUAAAAUUAGUUAUUGUAUCUUGAGUUUCCUUUCAUUUUUUCCUUAUCUCGUUCAGCUCCUUUUGCCCUUCUGUCUGGCUCCCAGCUAGCUCCAUUUUAUAUCUCAGUCUGUUGUCUUAUCCUCUCAUCUUUCAUCUCUUGUUUCAUGGUGUUCAAUUCUUUUCUUUUUACUGCAAGACAAAGCAGGCACUUUUUAAAAUCUACUUCUUUAUUCUGUAGGUUUGGAAAAACUUUUUAAGUAGGUUUUUUCUCUGAUUCUGAUGGGCUGAGCUCACCUUAUCUUAUUGUGUGUACUCUUUUUAUAUGCUAUGUGUUAUGAUUUUUUCCUCUUUACCCACACACAAAUGGUGGCAUGAUUAUCAAUAACAAAUAUGUCCAAAAUCAAGUGCGUAUAUUAACCUUUUCUCCUCAAAGUCUAGUUGGUAUCAGUGCCCACUGUAGCCGGCAGCAGGCCUGCUGAUCCAGAGAAAAGCCCAAUUAUGCUGAGAGGCUGAGUAGUCUCAAGAUCUGAAGACAGCAGAAACCUGGGAAAGUUAAUGAUAUACGUUGUUAUACUCCAAGUGUGAGUCUGAAGACAAGGGAAGACCAACGUCCAAGCUUGAAGACAGUCAGAUAGAAUCAUUCUGCAGCCUGGCUAAGGAUGAAGAUAACUGAUAAACUAUUAUAUACCACUAUACCAAAAAGGAUUGAAAUUAUCCUGAAAAAGGAUUGCUGCUAUUGUUGCCUUCUCUGCAUCGUGCUGUGUCCCCAAGAAGAAAACAGUUCAUGUGAAGGAAGAGAUUAGUUCCACUCAUGAAAAUCUGAAGAUUUAUAUUGUCUCUGGUUUCAUGUGAUUAUGUCAUGUGUGUCAAGAGCCAACAGUUAAUAAAUAUGUACUGAACACACAUUUCAUGGUAGGCAAAUUGCCACUUAAUAUCAAUGUGGUUUAGGUUCUAACAGUUAUAGUGCUUCCUGCUGUACAAGAGUUGGGGAUUUAAUGGUAUUUGAGGAUAUCCUGAAGAAAAGAAUGUGAACCAUGUUCACCAUUGGAGUGAAGAUGAAUGAAAACAGGUCUGAUUGACUGUG
rnacentral:lncRNA from 1 species